rnacentral:misc_RNA from 1 species
GGGAUACUGCUUCGGUAAGUCCC